GGGAAGCAAUAUUAAGUUCAAUAUAAAUAACACCCCUUAGCUUAAUUACUUAGCACAAGUUAGAGAUAACAUUUACAUAAUAUUCAGUAAUUUAGUUCAUGUCGUGUGAACCUUUAAAUGGAUCUGGAGAAUGUAAAACAAAGAAGAAUAACCGAAGAAAGGCUAAUGGAGAAAAUGAUUAAAACUGUAGAAUUAGAGAAGAAAAGAAGGAAUAGGGUUAGAAGUAAUUAUCUUGAUUAGUCCCUUAAGCUCUAGGGUGCAUUUAUAUACACUUUGAAUAUAGAUCAAAUCGGUAAUACAAUCAACUCCCACAAUCACAACAUCAUAAUCACAUCGUUCACACAAAUUCACAAGCUAUCAUUCUAUUAAGCCUCACAUCAGCUAGGUAUUGGGCAAAAGUGCUUCUUCUAUGAAUUGAGCAAUCCUCUCCCACAUAGUGCCUUUUAGGAUAGAGUUAGGUCCAGUACAUUUGAUCAAUAUGGUAUCAAAGCUGACCCCAGUCUCAAUGUUUGGUCAUCCACAUAUGUUCAAUCCUGAAAAUUUCAUGCCCCAAAUGUACAGUCCUGGGCAUGAGAGGUUGUGUUAAAUUCCACAUCAGCUGGGUAUUGGGUAAAAGUGCUUAUAUGACUCGAGCAAUUCUCCCUCCCAUGGUGCCUUUUAGGGUGGACUUCAAUCCGGUCCAUUUUAUCAACAUGGCAUCAAAGCCAAACACUGUCUCAAUGUUGGGCUAGCUAUAGAUAUUCAGUCAUAAACUUCACACUCCAGAUGUUCAGUCCUGAGCAUGAGAAGGUAUCUUAAGUCUCACAUCGGCUAGGUAUCAGUGUUGUCAAGCGGCACCCAGGCAAGGCAAAAUCUAGGCUCUAUCUAGGUGCCCAGGCAAGGCCCAGGUGAGAAAUUAAUUUUAAAAAAAAAUUGAGAAAGAGAAGACGAAGACGAUGAUGAUAUGGUGGAUGUUGAAGAAGAUGAUGGCUUGAGAAUUGAGAUUUUAAAUUUGCAUUACAUAACGAAUGAAAAUGAACAAUGCAUCUAGAAUUUUAA
rnacentral:misc_RNA from 1 species